rnacentral:rRNA from 1 species
CCUGGCCUUGACAUACUAAGAACUUUCCAGAGAUGGAUUGGUGCCUUCGGGAACUUAGAUACAGGUGCUGCAUGGCUGUCGUCAGCUCGUGUCGUGAGAUGUUGGGUUAAGUCCCGCAACGAGCGCAACCCUUUUCCUUAUUUGCCAGCGGGUAAUGCCGGGAACUUUAAGGAUACUGCCAGUUACAAACUGGAGGAAGGCGGGGACGACGUCAAGUCAUCAUGGCCCUUACGGCCAGGGCUACACACGUGCUACAAUGGUCGGUACAAAGGGUUGCUACCUCGCGAGAGGAUGCUAAUCUCAAAAAGCCGAUCGUAGUCCGGAUCGCAGUCUGCAACUCGACUGCGUGAAGUCGGAAUCGCUAGUAAUCGCGGAUCAGAAUGCCGCGGUGAAUACGUUCCCGGGCCUUGUACACACCGCCCGUCACACCAUGGGAGUUUGUUGCACCAGAAGUAGGUAGUCUAACCGCAAGGAGGACGCUUACCACGGUGUGGCCGAUGACUGGGGUGAAGUCGUAACAAGGUAAGCGUAGAUGA